rnacentral:rRNA from 1 species
AUACGGAGGGUGCAAGCGUUACUCGGAAUCACUGGGCGUAAAGCGCGCGCAGGCGGCUAUUUAAGUUGGAUGUGAAAGCCUACGGCUCAACCGUAGAACUGCAUCCAAAACUAUUUAGCUAGAGUGUGGGAGAGGAAGAUGGAAUUAGUUGUGUAGGGGUAAAUCCGUAGAGAUAACUAGGAAUACCAAAAGCGAAGGCAAUCUUCUGGAACACUACUGACGCUGAGGCGCGAAAGCGUGGGGAGCAAACGGGAUUAGAUACCCUUGUAGUCC